UGCAUUGGAUUGAGACACGUACAAACCUUAUCGAUAAACAAUUGGAGGGCAAGUCUGGUGCCAGCAGCCGCGGUAAUUCCAGCUCCAAUAGCGUAUAUUAACGUUGUUGCAGUUAAAAAGCUCGUAGUUGAAAUGAAGGGUAGUUGUGUAAUGAAUACAUUCGUGUAUUUUGUUAUUCUACUACCCUCCUUCUAAAUUCGAUAUAUGAGUAUUAAUUUACUUGUAUAUGGUUUUAGACCUUUACUGUGAGAAAAUUAGAGUGUUCAAAGCAGGCAUUUGCUUGAAUAUAUUAGCAUGGAAUAAUCAUGUAUGAUUUUCAUGAUGUAUUUGAUUGGUUUGGUUCAUGAGAAUAAGAUUAAAAGGGACAGUUGGGGGUAUUCAUAUUCAAUAGUCAGAGGUGAAAUUCUCGGAUUUAUGGAAGAUGAACAAGUGCGACACG
rnacentral:rRNA from 1 species